GGAUGUGAGGGCGAUCUGGCUGUGACAUCUGUCACCCCAUUGAUCGCCCGGGUUGAUUCGGCUGAUCUGGCUGGCUAGGAGGGUGGGUAUCCCCUUCCUCCCUCAACAAUCCAUGUGCGUCCCUCCCGAAGCUGCAGGCUCUGUCGAAGAGGACGAACACCCCUGAUAGAGGAGGACCGUUCCUCGGUCAGGGAUAUAGGAGUAGCUGCGCUCCCCUGCUAGAACCUCCAAACAAGCUCUCAAGAAAGGGCGGGGGGGCCGGGGAGAUGGCUCAGUGGAAUAAGUGCUUC
rnacentral:snRNA from 1 species